CUACGUGCCAGCAGCCGCGGUAAUACGUAGGGCGCGAGCGUUGUCCGGAAUUAUUGGGCGUAAAGGGCUUGUAGGCGGUUGGUCGCGUCUGCCGUGAAAUUCUCUGGCUUAACUGGGGGCGUGCGGUGGGUACGGGCUGACUUGAGUGCGGUAGGGGAGACUGGAACUCCUGGUGUAGCGGUGGAAUGCGCAGAUAUCAGGAAGAACACCGGUGGCGAAGGCGGGUCUCUGGGCCGUUACUGACGCUGAGGAGCGAAAGCGUGGGGAGCGAACAGGAUUAGAUACCCUGGUAGUCCACGCUGUAAACGUUGGGCACUAGGUGUGGGGGCCAUCCGUCGUUUUCCGCGCCGUAGCUAACGCAUUAAGUGCCCCGCCUGGGGAGUACGGCCGCAAGGCUAAAACUCAAAGGAAUUGACGGGGGCCCGCACAAGCGGCGGAGCAUGCGGAUUAAUUCGAUGCAACGCGAAGAACCUUACCAAGGCUUGACAU
rnacentral:rRNA from 1 species